GACAGAGGGUGCAAACGUUGUUCGGAAUCACUGGGCGUAAAGCGCACGUAGGCGGCUUUCUAAGUCAGGGGUGAAAUCCUGGAGCUCAACUCCAGAACUGCCUUUGAUACUGGAGAGCUUGAGUCCGGAAGAGGUGAGUGGAACUCCGAGUGUAGAGGUGAAAUUCGUAGAUAUUCGGAAGAACACCAGUGGCGAAGGCGGCUCACUGGUCCGGUACUGACGCUGAGGUGCGAAAGCGUGGGGAGCAAACAGG
rnacentral:rRNA from 1 species